AUCGAUGUCAACGUUCACAAGAACCAAAACCGGAACAACAUUAGACUACUCAGUUGCGCCCUAACAGUAUAACUUUGCAACGAGUACUUUUUCUCAUUCUAUCGAACAAAGAGUAAAACCUAAUUAUAUUGUUCUAUUAUACCCCGAGAGUGUAAAUUUUUAACUUAUCGAGGUCAACGUUCACAAGAACCAAAGCCCAACCAACAUUAGACUACUCAGUUGCGCCCUAACAGCAUAACUUUGCAAUAAGUACUUUUUCUCCUCCAACCGAAUAAAGAGAAAAACCUAAUUAUAUUGUUCUAUUUUACCCUGAGAGAGUAAAUUUGCAACGUAUCAAUGUCAACGUUCACAAAAAUCAAAACCGGACCAACAUUAGACUACUCAGUUGCGCCCUAACAGCAUAACUUUGCAAUAAGUACUUUUUCUCCUCCAACCGAAUAAAGAGAAAAACCUAAUUAUAUUGUUCUAUUUUACCCUGAGAGAGUAAAUUUGCAACGUAUCAAUGUCAACGUUCACAAAAAUCAAAACCGGACCAACAUUAGACUACUCAGUUGCGCCCUUACAAUAUAACUUAAUUAUAUUGUUCUAUUAGACUUUUUCUCAUUCAAUUGAACAAAGAGUAAAACCUAAUUAUAUUGUUCUAUUAUGCCCCGAGAGUAUAAAUUUGCAGUGUAUCGAUGUCAACGUUCACACGAACCAAAAUGGUACAAACAUUAGACUACUAGUUGUGCCCUAACAGUAUAACUUUGCAACGAGUACUUUUUCUCAUUCAACCGAACAAACAGUAAAACCUGAUUAUAUUGUUCUAUUAUGCCCCGAGAGUAUAAAUUUGCAACGUAUCGAUGUCAACGUUCACAAGAACCAAAAUCGGAACAACAUUAGACUACUCAGUUACGCCAUAACAGUAUAACUUUGCAAACAGUACUUUUUCUCAUUCAAUCGAACAAAGAGUAAAACCAACUUAUAUUAUUCUAUUAUACCCCGAGCAUGUAAAUUUGCAACUUAUCGAUGUCAACGUUCACAAGAACGAAAACCGGAAGAACAUUAGACUACUCAGUUGCGCCCUAACAACAUAACUUUGCAAACAGUGCUUUUUCUCAUUCAAUCGAACAAAGAGUACAACCUAAUUAUAUUGUUCUAUUAUCGCCCGAGAGUGUAAGUUUGCAACGUAUCGAUGUCAACGUUCAUAAGAAUCAAAACCGGAAAAAUAUUAGACAACUCAGUUGCUCCCUAAUACUAUAACUUUACAAAGAGUACUUUUUCUCAUUCAACCGAACAAAGAGUAAAACCUAAUUAUAUUGUUCUAUUAUGGCCCGAGAGUGUAAAUUUACAAGGUAUCGAUGUCAACGUUCAAAAAAACCAAAACCGGACAAAAAUUAGACUACUCAGUUGCUCCCUAACAGUAUAACUUUACAACGAGUACUUUUUCUUCUUCAACCGAACAAAGAGUAAAAUCUAAUUAUAUUAUUCUAUUAUGACCCGAAAGUGUAAAUUUGCAACGUAUCGAUGUCAACAUUCACAAGAAACGAAACCGAAAAAAUUUUAGACUACUCAGUUGCUCCCUAACAUUAUAACUUUGCAACGAGUACUUUUUCGCAUUCAAUCAAAAAAAGAGUAAAACCUAAUUAUAUUGUUCUAUUAUGCCCCGAUAGUGUUAAUAUGCAAUGUAUCGAUGUCAACGUUCACAAGAACCAAAACCAGAACAACAUUAGACUUCUCUAUUACGCCCUAACAGCUUAACUUUGCAAACAGUACUUUUUCUCAUUCAAUCGAACAAAGAGUAAAACCAAAUUAUAUUAUUCUAUUAUGCCCCUAGAAUGUAAAUUUGCAACGUAUCGAUGUCAACGUUCACAGAAACCAAAACGGGAAGAACAUUAGACUACACAAUUGCGCCCUAACAGCAUAAUUUUGCAAUGAGUACUUUUUCUCCUUCAACCGAACAAAGAAUAAAAGCUAAUUAUAUUGUUCUAUUAUGCCCCGAGAGUGUAAAUUUACAAUGUAUCGAUGCAAACGUUCACAAAAACCAAAACCGGAACAACAUUAGACUACUCAGUUGCACCCUAACAAUAGAACUUUGCAAACAGAGCUUUUUCUCAUUCAAUCGAACAAAGAGUAAAAUCCAAUUAUAUUAUUCUAUUAUACCCCGGG
rnacentral:lncRNA from 1 species